UUGAUAUUAAUUAUUUUUACUAUUCAUAAAGGUAUUUGACACCUCGGACCUUCCCGGAGGCGUUGUGAAUAUUCUUACUGGUGGUCGUGACCAUUUAGCCAAAUACCUAGUGGAGCAUCAAGAUGUACAAGCCAUGUGGUACUAUGGAUCUGAACAGGGUUCCAAAUUUGUGGAGUGGUCUUCUGCUGACAACUGUAAACGGACCUGGGUCAACUAUGGCCUUACCAGAGAGUGGGAGGAUACCCAACAAGGAGCUGGAGAAGAGUUCCUGUAUCAUGCCACACAGUGCAAAAAUAUCUGGAUUCCUAUGGGGGAAAUUUUCGCCAACUGACACCAAUUAAUGUACUUUUGCCCCCAUACAUUCUUAU